rnacentral:rRNA from 1 species
UACGAAGGGUGCAAGCGUUAAUCGGAAUUACUGGGCGUAAAGGGUGCGUAGGUGGCGUGGUAAGUCUGGUGUGAAAUCCCGGGGCUCAACCCCGGAACUGCACUGGAUACUGCCAUGCUUGAGUACUGGAGAGGAGAUUGGAAUUUACGGUGUAGCAGUGAAAUGCGUAGAUAUCGUAAGGAAGACCAGUGGCGAAGGCGAAUCUCUGGACAGUUACUGACACUGAGGCACGAAGGCCAGGGGAGCAAACGGG